rnacentral:rRNA from 1 species
CCGGAGCUUGCUCCACCGGAAAAAGAAGAGUGGCGAACGGGUGAGUAACACGUGGGUAACCUGCCCAUCAGAAGGGGAUAACACUUGGAAACAGGUGCUAAUACCGUAUAACAAUCGAAACCGCAUGGUUUUGAUUUGAAAGGCGCUUUCGGGUGUCGCUGAUGGAUGGACCCGCGGUGCAUUAGCUAGUUGGUGAGGUAACGGCUCACCAAGGCCACGAUGCAUAGCCGACCUGAGAGGGUGAUCGGCCACAUUGGGACUGAGACACGGCCCAAACUCCUACGGGAGGCAGCAGUAGGGAAUCUUCGGCAAUGGACGAAAGUCUGACCGAGCAACGCCGCGUGAGUGAAGAAGGUUUUCGGAUCGUAAAACUCUGUUGUUAGAGAAGAACAAGGAUGAGAGUAACUGUUCAUCCCUUGACGGUAUCUAACCAGAAAGCCACGGCUAACUACGUGCCAGCAGCCGCGGUAAUACGUANGUGGCAAGCGUUGUCCGGAUUUAUUGGGCGUAAAGCGAGCGCA